rnacentral:lncRNA from 1 species
GGGCGGCAUGGAGGUCAUCCUCCCCCAGGCUGGGGGCCCGGUGGACAGAAUCCCUCAGAGAGCCCCAAGGGGGCAGGCCCAGCCUCAGGGUCGGACAGUGGACAUAGAGAUAUUUCUCCUUCCAGUUGUGGAUUGAAGAGGGGGCACCUUUCAGCAACCCCUUCUUGCUGAACUGAGGAGAGAAAUACCACCAGUCCUUCGCCGAAGGAUGACG